UACAGAGGUCCCGAGCGUUGUUCGGAUUCAUUGGGCGUAAAGGGUGCGUAGGUGGCGCGCUAAAUCAGGUGUGAAAUUUCGGAGCUUAACUCCGAAACUGCAUUUGAUACUGGCGUGCUUGAGGACUGGAGAGGAGACUGGAAUUCAUGGUGUAGCAGUGAAAUGCGUAGAGAUCAUGAGGAAGACCAGUGGCGAAGGCGGGUCUCUGGACAGUUCCUGACACUGAGGCACGAAGGCCAGGGGAGCAAACGGG
rnacentral:rRNA from 1 species